rnacentral:rRNA from 1 species
GACGAACGCUGGCGGCGUGCUUAACACAUGCAAGUCGAACGAAGUGGCGAACGGGUGAGUAACGAGUAAUCAACCUGCCCUUCAGAGGGGACCAACAGUUGGAAACGACUGCUAAUACCGCAUACUGAAGGAGGGGAUUGCGUCUGAUUAGCUCGUUGGCGGGGUAACGGCCCACCAAGGCGCUGAGCAGUAGCCGGUCUGAGAGGAUGAACGGCCAAAUUGGGACUGGGACACGGCCCAGACUCCUACGGGAGGCAGCAGUGGGGAAUCUUCCGAAAUGGACGAAAGUCUGACGGAGCAACGCCGCGUGAGUGAUGACGGCCUUCGGGUGGUAAAGCUCUGUUAAUCGGGACGCGGUACCGGAAUAGAAAGCCACGGCUAACUACGUGCCAGCCGCCGCGGUAAUUC